rnacentral:rRNA from 1 species
AGCGAACGCUGGCGGCAGGCCUAACACAUGCAAGUCGAGCGGCCCUUCGGGGCAGCGGCGGACGGGUGAGUAACGCGUGGGAACGUGCCCUUUGGUACGGAACAACUGAGGGAAACUUCAGCUAAUACCGUAUGUGCCCUACGGGGGAAAGAUUUAUCGCCAUUGGAGCGGCCCGCGUUAGAUUAGCUAGUUGGUAGGGUAAUGGCCUACCAAGGCGACGAUCUAUAGCUGGUCUGAGAGGAUGAUCAGCCACACUGGGACUGAGACACGGCCCAGACUCCUACGGGAGGCAGCAGUGGGGAAUCUUGCGCAAUGGGCGAAAGCCUGACGCAGCCAUGCCGCGUGAAUGAUGAAGGUCUUAGGAUUGUAAAAUUCUUUCACCGGGGACGAUAAUGACGGUACCCGGAGAAGAGGCCCCGGCUAACUUCGUGCCAGCCGCCGCCGUAAGAC